rnacentral:rRNA from 1 species
UACGUAGGUGGCGAGCGUUGUCCGGAUUUAUUGGGUUUAAAGGGUGCGUAGGCGGCUUUUUAAGUCAGUGGUGAAAUACCCCGGCUCAACCGGGGGGGUGCCAUUGAUACUGAAAGGCUUGAGUACAGAUGAGGUAGGCGGAAUUGACGGUGUAGCGGUGAAAUGCUUAGAUAUCGUCAAGAACACCUAUAGCGAAGGCAGCUUACUAGGCUGUAACUGACGCUGAGGCACGAAAGUGUGGGGAUCAAACAGG